UACGGAGGGUGCAAGCGUUAUCCGGAUUCACUGGGUUUAAAGGGUGCGUAGGUGGGCUGUUAAGUCAGUGGUGAAAUCUCCGGGCUCAACCCGGAAACUGCCAUUGAUACUAUCAGUCUUGAAUAUCGUGGAGGUAAGCGGAAUAUGUCAUGUAGCGGUGAAAUGCUUAGAUAUGACAUAGAACACCAAUUGCGAAGGCAGCUUGCUACCGAAUAUUGACACUGAGGCACGAAAGCGUGGGGAUCAAACAGG
rnacentral:rRNA from 1 species